UUCAAGAAUCUUCUUUUCCCCUUCCUCUGCUUUACAAACCGGUAAAACUACCACCGAGGUCGCUUCUGCUACUUCUCCAAACUUAAGCCUCACCACUGGAAUCCGAAUAGCUUUGACUUCCUCUUCCUUCUUCUUCUUCUCCUUCUCCUUCUCUGCUUCCUUGUCCCCGUAUAGCUCUGUGUUCAACCUGUUCUUAGCCUUUUCUGAUUCUGCAACCCCCAAUGCUUGUAGAAGCAUCGAGGUUCUCUGAU